AACCUCAACUACUCAGACACUGUAUUAUAUAAUUAACCCUGUCUGCUGUGCAUCGAGCACGUGUUUUUGAGGAUUACACACAUGAUGUAACAUUGUACAAACUGAGGGAAGUCGUCUGGAAGUCCACUUCUGUUGCAAAACAGCCCAUGCCUAAAAUAUUGUUCUCGUUUCAUUUUUGUAGUAUUUUAAACAACUGGUCGAGACACUGACCGGUCAAAUCAAACAAACACAUCCCUUAUGUAGCAUAGUGAGUCAAAUCUCCCUUUUGAGGUCAACGCACGCAACACUUCAACCUCAACAGGAUGCUAGAUCAUUCUUAGCAAAACAGUUCCAGGUAGAAACCUUUAAAAGGUGUCAUGUAUCUCAAUUUACUCUUUAAAAAAAACAAAAAAAAAAACAACAACUACUAAAGCUUUCAGCAUGGCUGUGGACUGUGAGAUUUGAUCUGACCUAUCGGAAAUACAACAAAGAGUUCACAAAGGAAAAUGCUGAAGUUUGCAUAGAUCUUUAUUUUUUUGUAUAAUCUAUAAUUCGCAUAUUGACAUCAAUUAAAUAAAAAGAAAAAAAAAGAGCAAAAUAAUCUUUAAAUUACAUGUAAAUGACAAUGCACCAUAUAUAGUACAAAAAUAGGCCUUAUUUUUAUAUAGCUGUCCCGUCUCAGGUAGUCAUACAAAUGAUUGGUGUUUUCUACUUGGGGAUCUACAUGCAUCAGUUGACUCUUCAAAUAAAGAUGAAAAUAAUCCUAUGGUUCCAAAAGGUUCUCACUU